rnacentral:rRNA from 1 species
CAAUACCCGAAGUCCGUGAGCUAACCGCAAGGAGGCAGCGGCCGAAGGUAGGGUCAGCGAUUGGGGUGAAGUCGUAACAAGGUAGCCGUAGGAGAACCUGCGGCUGGAUCACCUCCUUU